GACAGAGGGUGCGAACGUUGUUCGGAAUUACUGGGCGUAAAGCGCAUGUAGGCGGCAGCGCAAGUCGGGCGUGAAAUCCCACGGCUCAACCGUGGAAGUGCACUCGAAACUGCGCAGCUAGAGUCCUGGAGAGGAAGGUGGAAUGCUUGGUGUAGAGGUGAAAUUCGUAGAUAUCAAGCGGAACACCGGUGGCGAAGGCGGCCUCUGGACAGUGACUGACGCUGAGACGCGAAAGCGUGGGGAGCAAACAGG
rnacentral:rRNA from 1 species